UAUUUUUUUAUAAAACAGGGGAGGUUCGGGGAGAGAGAAAAACAUAACAAUUUUGGCUAAGUUUUGGGUUCUAGAGAAAAGGUGGAGCAUCCUCAACCCAAAUACACAUCAAAGGACUUCUCUAAUCUUCAAGAAUCAUUCAAAAAGGUUCAAGAUUGGGUUUGAACUACAAGAGAUUCGAGGCGUUUGUAAGCCAAUUCACGAGGCACAAGCAUAGCGGAAUAGGAAAUUACACAGGUUGAGGUAAGUAACAGUUAUAAAUCUGGUCCUGAGGGUAUGAAA